AUUUUUGUAGUUGAAUACAACGGUGAUUUUUGGAGUCAUUAGUCUUGGUUAAAGUCCAGGCAGGAAUU
rnacentral:tRNA from 1 species